UGCAUAUAAAAUAAAAUAAAGAGUGCCCAUAUGAUAUCAUAUAACACUAAAAUUAAUGUUGCUUGAAAUUAUAUUGAAAACUAUCAAGAUUAUUCUAGUCUGCAUUGAAACGCGCGUCGCGUUGCCGGCGCUCGUGUACCGAGCGCCAACGCCAUCUAUCGAGCGUUAUAUCGUGAAAUCGGAGAACGCUCCAAGGAUUAAGGGCUCUUCAGCAUUUCAUACAGAUUACAAUGAUCCCUUAGAUACACCGUACAAUUUAAAUGAAUAUUUCAGGAGUAAUCGUAAAUCAAAGUUUCAUUUAGAGCCAUAUAAUUGUACGAAAUGUUAAAGACGCUAUCCGCAGUUAGUUCAAAUUUUUACCACCUUAUGCGCUGGGAUCGCUUUACUUACCCCCACCAUGCACUUCGCACGGUCCCAAUACAAGAAUUGCUCGUUUAAAGUUAUAAGAUAUUUCAGGGAUCUCGGAAACGGCUCUAACGAUUUCGCUGAAAUUUGGUAUAUGGGGGUUUUUGGGGGUAAACAAUCGAUCUAGAUUAGUCUUAUGUUUGGGAAAACACGUGUUUUCGAUUUUUCAUGCGUUUUUCUUUCGACUCAGAAUAUGGUCGCUAAUUUGGUGUUGUAGUCUACUGUCCGUCUGGUCCAGCGGGUUAAGACGCGGGCGGCAAGAAACAACCAGUACUACGGGUUCGAAUCCCGCCCGGUGACUAACUUUUGUUUUUUUUUAUAUGUUCAAGCUUAUAUAUAAUUUUUUAAUUUUUAUAGUUUUAGACAAGUUUAAUUUAGUAAAAAAUGUAGUUAAGAUUAUCACCUAUACACCACCAUAUUACAAUAAAUAGUUGUUAUAACCGAGCAAAGCUCGGUCGCCCAGGUACUGUACUUGCUAAGAGCAGAUAUAUUCGGAAAUAGUUCUGCUAUACCUAGACUAGUUAAGUAGGGGGAAUUGCGUAUUUUUGACUUAGCAACUAGGGUUGCCAACCUUAGUGCACAGAUUUGCGAUACAUUUGCGAUCAAAUUACGGGACUUCGGUAUAAAAUGCGGAACACCUUCACCCAGUGGAUAAUGUAAAUUGGCCGUCAACCAACGUAUGGAAAAGGCAUGAAAAAUCAACUAUAUAGGCUGGGUAGUGCCAAGCGAGCGAGUGAGCGCACGGUACCGUGUUUUACGAGUAUUCAAAUUAGAAUCACGCGCUCUUUACUUAUAACUUUAUAAGUAUUAUAACUGAACGUUCGUUUCAGUGUUUGUAAUCUAGUCUAGCCUGAAAACGGCACAAUCGGCGUCCCGCGCUGUCUGUUUGCGGGAUGCAGACACUAGGGCUCUAGAAACGGGACGUCCCGCAUAUAAUGGGACUGUUGGCAACCCUAUACACAAGCCUAUUAACACUAUAAAGAAAAGCCGCUUUACUUAUGUUUAAUCAAACGUGGUAAGUAUCUACUUAAUUUAUUGCAUCAAGGCUUAUUUUGCAAAACUACGAUGAAGCAGUAAAAAACAAAGGGCAUGCGUACACGCCUCCUUUGAAAAAGCUGUCAAUUUAAAUUUGAACUUGUUCUUAAAAGAAAUCAAAACAGUUACCACCACGGGCGGCAGCUUAUUAAUAGCGAUGCGACACUACGUCGAUAUAAUCUUUAAUCAUUUGUUUUAAGGUUGAUUUCACAUUGUCACAAAAGUUAUAGCAUAGAAAGAGAGAAAGAAAAUACAUUUAUUUAACAUCAUAAUUUGGCUACAAAAUUAUAAAAUAAAAUAAACACAAACUAGAUACUAUACGGGAUCUCACAAGCAUAUUGCCAUGGCAAGGCAUGGCGCUGAUUGAUAGAGAUGGUAGAGUACAGGAGCCGCCUGCGGGCCUCGCGGCGUGCCUUUGCUAUCCUGCCGUGCUUGGCGUCGGCCAUAAAGCCUAUCAGAGUGCCUACCGCGAAUACCGAUAUUCGCAAAUUGCGGGCAUCUUUCUCUUUUAAUCCAAUUAAGGAGUCAUUAGAGUAACGGAAUAAGGUGCCCGGAAUUUGCUAAUAUCAGUAUUCGUGAUCAUCAUAGCCCAUCAGAGCCGUAGCUAGAAUAUAAUUCAGUUGAUAUAUAUAUAUAUAUAUAUAUUAUUCCCUGGUCCCCACACAAGAAAUCACAGAUUAUUUUUCCAUUUGUUCAUUUUGAAUCUUAUUUCAAUUACCAUAGGAGUUGUAAUUAAAUAACCGGCUAAAGUUACCCGGCCCUUUUUUUGCAGGUAGUGGCACGCGCGGUUUUAGUUAACAAUUGACAAAGGAUAAUUGAGGAGAGGAGUAUCUCAAACAAACUGAUUUUUCACCCUGAGAAGUGCUCUGUGAUGUCUUUUAGCCGAUCUCGUAGUCCGCUAGUUGGUAAUUACAUGUUAGGAACGAAAUUAAUUAACCGCGUUGACACUAUUAAAGACCUAGGUGUCAUAUUUGACCCGCAUCUUAACUUUCAUGCUCAUAUGAGAACCCUAGCUACCGAAUGCUAUCGGAGAUUGGGAUUUGUCAUCCGUAACGUUCGUGAUUUUGACAACGCGAUUGUUAUCAAGAUUGUUUAUACCUCUCUAGUUAGGAGUAAACUGGAGGCAGCGUCUGUGGUGUGGAACCCCCAUGAGGUCACUUACGCUUUGCUUCUGGAGAAAAUCCAAAAGACUUUUCUAAGAUUUUUAUUUAAAAAAGUCUAUGGGUAUUAUCCUUUCCUUUACCCGACAAAAUAUUUACUUGGAACUCUGGGUUUUAACUCUUUAGAAGUGAGGCGUAAUUAUGCACUUAUGAUCGGCGCGUGCAGAAUAUUACGUGGAGAUUCAGACUGCCCUCAGCUGGUCUCACAGUUAGUACGCCUCCUCAUCCCUUCUCUGUCCGUCGCAAAGUUCAAUUUUAGGCCUCGUAAUCGCGACUUACUUGCGGCUCCUAAAGCGCGCACGAAGGCGUACAGGCAAUCACCACUGGUUCGUGCUUUGCACUACAUCAACGCACUUCUCCAGUCGGCUCCAGACUGCGAUCUUUUUGCCAGUAGUUGGAGGCAAAUUUGUGAGCAAUGCAAAAACCAUUGUGAGGCAAUGGAUGACCGUCCGUCCUCAGUUAGUUAUUAAGGUGGUUCGUUUUUCAUACUAAUGUAUUUAUCCAAUUAUGGGCGAAUGGAGCAUGGUUUUACAAUGAAACCACUUCCAUUAAUAUUCAAUUUGAUAUUUGUUUGCGGGAAAUUAUGUUUUUGUAAUAAAAAUAUUUGAAUAAUAGCUUAACUGAGAACGAUAUUUUAGUUAAAAUUUGUCAAUGUGUGAGUGAACGGUGUCAGCGUCGUACACUAAGCGUAUGUUCAGUGUGUGCGUUGAAAGGCUACGUUGCGAGCUGGCCGAAAAUGCGACGAUGCCGCUCUUCACUCCGCACGGCUCAAGCGCGCAACGAGGCGUUUGUGUCAAUUGAUAAAUUUCUAUUCAAUUUCAUUUUACCAAACGUCACUGUCAUUUUGAUUGACCGGCACGCGGCACCGGCACUUUGGCAAAGAGCAUAUAAUCACUACCUACGUUCUUGGCAGUUUGGCGGCAGUCUUGUUGUUUCUUGUUUCGCUAUUUUGAUUCUAAUAGUGAACUUUAUCGAGAGAAUGCCACAAACAUCCCGAAAAGAUUAUAAAAACCAUCAAUACUCAGGCCCGAGAAAGAGUCGGAAACGCAGCCAUGGGCAAAUGAAACGAUAUCACGGAGAAAUCAAAAGAUCCAGGACCAACUGCGGCCACUGCGGGUGACACAAAUGAUGAAAUGUCACUUCAUUUGUUACAUUUCCCCAAGUUAUGGCAUUACAGUUUUGGAAGUAGAGCAUGAUGAAACUUUUAUAGAAAAGAUGUUGCCAAAACUGGUAAACUUUUAUAAAAAUUGUAUAUUGCCCGAGAUGGUACUGCGAAGAACAAGGAAAAAUCUAAAAUGUAUAGAUGUUUCUUUGUGGUAGUAAAUGUAAAUAAAAAAACUGACUAUUUUUUACCUUUUUAUGACUUUCAUAAGUGCAUUGUCAUAUUGAAAAAUAAACUAUCUUUAUUUGAACUGUUCUUUGUCUGUGUCCCAUUGUAAUUCGCGCGUGAUUAGAAUGGGAUGAAACCUAGUCAUGGUGACUGGAAAUAUCGGAAAAAUUCAAAAUUAUGAAACCUUGUCUAAAUAAGGUUUGGUCUCAUUCUGAUCGUGCACGGAUUAUAUUUUCUAUGCUAAACUAGCAAAAUAAAUUUUAGGACAGAUAUAUGGUGCCAUACCAUCUUAUUCUGUUUUUAGUAUUAAAUUUAUUGUUAUAACGGCAACAGAAAUACAUCAUCUGUCUAAAUUUCAACUGUAGCUAUCACAGUUCAUGAGACAGCCUGGUGACAGACGGACAGUCAAGUCUUAGUAAUAGGGUCCCGUUUUGACCCUAUGGGUAUGGAACCCUAAAAAGAAGGAUUAUGAAAUAUCGAACUUAGAACCUUAGUCCUAACAAAGGCUAGUGAUAGUAUUGAAUUUAGGGUAUUACAAGAUGUGUAACUUUUUUAUACUGGUAGAAGAUUAAAACACCAUAUUUAGUUUC